UGAAAUUUGGGCUCAGCAUAAAAACGAUUGUGGCAUUCUAAAAGCUAGUGAAAUUAACAUUGUGGGACCUAAUGCUCCUCCACAGAGACAAUACAGGUUUCCAACAGAAGCCAUUGAACCCGUAGCACAAAUAAUUGAUCAAUUGGAGAAACAGGGUAUCAUUAGGAAAUGUUCUUCCUCCAAAAACUCACCCUUGUGGCCAGUACGUAAGAAAAAUGGCACUUGGAGAUUGACAGUAGAUUUUCGGAUGGUAAACAAAUUCAUUCCUCCAGUUACAAAUUUGGUUGCUUCCAUACCUGAGGUGACAUCUAAACUAAAUGCCGCCUGUGAAUGGUAUUCAGUAUUAGAUAUUAGUAAUGGUUUCUGGAGUAUUAGGCUAGCCCCAGAAUGCCAGUACAAAUUUGCCUUCACCUUUAAAAAUACUCAAUAUACAUUUACAACACUACCACAAGGCUUUCAUAGCUCUCCAACUUAUUUCCACCAGGCUUUAGCAAAGGUAUUAGAAGCAUUCUCGUCUCCAUCCAGUAUCAUGCAAUAUGUAGAUGAUAUCUUAUUGCAAACAGAGACAAUAGAUGAACAUUUACAUUUGUUAAGAGAACUGUUUAGCUUAAUUGCAGAGGCUGGAUUCAAGCUAAAUACUUCAAAGGUACGAUUACUG